AAUGUAUUAAAAUUUUCAUGUAUUCACAAAGGCCCAUAUUGAGUGCUAAUGCAGUAUGAUUUCUGCCUAGUGUUCUGAAUGUCAAAGUGAAGAAAUACAAUGAAGUUCUGGUAAAUGAUGAAAGUAACUAACAAUCUCUCAAGGUAGCCAAAUGCUUUAUCAUCUAAUUAGGAACAUGAAGAGGCU
rnacentral:ncRNA from 1 species